AGCCGCGCGUUGAGCACAUAGCGAACUAUUCUUUCGCCUUUUACUAAAGAAUAUCGUGUGUUCGUCGCCUAUAAGCUGACACUAUUUUUUUGGAUGUGUGUUUCUGUAAAGAAGCC